rnacentral:snRNA from 1 species
AUGAUGGCAGGGGCGACGCCGUGAUCACAAAGGUGGUUUUCCCAGGGCAAGGCUCACCCAUUGCACUUUGGAUGUGCUGCCCCUGUGAUUUACUCAAAUGUGGGAAACUCAAUGGCAUAAUUUGUGCUAGUGGGGGGACUGCAUUCACAGUUUCUCCUG